rnacentral:rRNA from 1 species
AUUGAACGCUGGCGGCAGGCCUAACACAUGCAAGUCGAGCGGAUGAAGGGAGCUUGCUCCUGGAUUCAGCGGCGGACGGGCGAGUAAUGCCUAGGAAUCUGCCUGGCAGUGGGGGAUAACGUCCGGAAACGGGCGCUAAUACCGCAUACGUCCUGAGGGAGAAAGUGGGGGAUCUUCGGACCUCACGCUAUCAGAUGAGCCUAGGUCGGAUUAGCUAGUUGGUGGGGUAAAGGCCUACCAAGGCGACGAUCCGUAACUGGUCUGAGAGGAUGAUCAGUCACACUGGAACUGAGACACGGUCCAGACUCCUACGGGAGGCAGCAGUGGGGAAUAUUGGACAAUGGGCGAAAGCCUGAUCCAGCCAUGCCGCGUGUGUGAAGAAGGUCUUCGGAUUGUGAAGCACUUUAAGUUGGGAGGAAGGGCAGUAAGUUAAUACCUUGCUGUUUUGACGUUACCAACAGAAUAAGCACCGGCUAACUUCGUG